AAGAGUCUCGCACACUGUGUGAUCAUCGUUUGAGCCCAAAGUGCUAAAAUACAGGUGUAGGUGUUUGAGAAGCGCUGUAGUUGAUUAUGGACGAAAUGCCUAAUUUAAGGAGCAGAGGCGGAGUGGAAAAUGAAAAAAGCUUCACCGCAGUGGAGACUUGUUAACAGCCCUGGGGAGAAAGGGGCUUAACAGAGUCUGGAAAUCGUGAAAGAGCUUGACCGAUGAAAUGGGCCUGGCUGUCGUAUCGAAGGCUGAGGCCGGGGUGCUAGAGAACCUUGCCGUGCUGGAAUUCACGUUGACGCCCCCACGGAGCUCUGCUGCAGAGCCCUCGAGUCCCGCACUUCCGGCCGCCAGGUGGCGCUGGUUCUGUUGCCAACUCGGAGAGACUGAGCUGGGCCACGCAAGAUGGCGCCGUCCGCCUUGCUGCGUCCCCUUUCCCGGCUGCUGGCCCCCGCCAGGCUCCCGAGCGGCCCUUCAGUGCGAUCAAAGUUCUACGUGCGAGAGCCGCCGAAUGCCAAACCUGACUGGCUGAAAGUUGGGUUCACCUUGGGCACCACUGUCUUCUUGUGGAUCUAUCUCAUCAAACAACACAAUGAAGAUAUUUUAGAGUACAAAAGAAGAAAUGGGCUGGAAUAAACUUUUGAAACACUAAUGUAGUAUGCUCCGUAUAGUGAUUGUAGCUGUUCCUCUGGAUUCACCAUCUGUUGAGUUGUAAAUG
rnacentral:lncRNA from 1 species